rnacentral:rRNA from 1 species
AGAGUUUGAUCAUGGCUCAGAAUGAACGCUNNGCGGCGUGCUUAACACAUGCAAGUCGUGCGCGAAGGUGGCUUCGGCCACCGGAGAGCGGCGAACGGGUGAGUAACACGUGGGUAUCUGCCUUGGAGUGGGGGAUAACCUGGGGGAAACUCGGGCUAAUACCGCAUACGUCGGCGGGGGUUGCGGCCCCGCCAAGAAAAGCUGGCCUCUGCUUGCAAGCUAGCGCUCCUGGAGGAGCCCGCGGCUGAUUAGCUAGUUGGUGGGGUAAUGGCCCACCAAGGCGACGAUCAGUAGCCGGCCUGAGAGGGUGAUCGGCCACACUGGGACUGAGACACGGCCCAGACUCCUACGGGAGGCAGCAGUGGGGAAUAUUGGACAAUGGGCGCAAGCCUGAUCCAGCAACGCCGCGUGGAGGACGAAGGUCUUCGGAUCGUAAACUCCUGUCAGGCGGGACGAAAAGGCGUCGGCGAACAUCCGGCGUCUCUGACGGUACCGCCAGAGGAAGCCCCGGCUAACUCCGUGCCAGCAGCCGCGGUAAUACGGAGGGGGCGAGCGUUAUUCGGAAUUAUUGGGCGUAAAGGGCGCGUAGGCGGCUUGGUAAGUCAAAGGUGAAAUCCCUCGGCUCAACUGAGGAACUGCCUUUGAAACUGCCUGGCUUGAGGCCGGGAGGGGGUAGCGGAAUUCCCAAUGUAGCGGUGAAAUGCGUAGAUAUUGGGAGGAACACCGGUGGCGAAGGCGGCUACCUGGACCGGUUCUGACGCUGAUGCGCGAAAGCGUGGGGAGCAAACAGGAUUAGAUACCCUAGUAGUCC